rnacentral:rRNA from 1 species
UACGUAGGGUGCAAGCGUUGUCCGGAAUUAUUGGGCGUAAAGAGCUCGUAGGCGGUCUGUUGCGUCGGCUGUGAAAACCCGGGGCUCAACUCCGGGCCUGCAGCCGAUACGGGCAGACUAGAGUUCGGCAGGGGAGACUGGAAUUCCUGGUGUAGCGGUGAAAUGCGCAGAUAUCAGGAGGAACACCGGUGGCGAAGGCGGCGUCCUGGACCAAUACUGACACUGAGGAGCGAAAGCCAGGGGAGCAAACGGG